rnacentral:rRNA from 1 species
ACGAACGCUUGCGGCAUGCCUCACACAUGCAAGUCGAACGAGACCUUCGGGUCUUGUGGCGCACGGGUGCGUAACGCGUGGGAACCUGCCCUUAGGUUCGGAAUAACUCCCCGAAAGGGGUGCUAAUACCGGAUAAUGUCUUCGGACCAAAGAUUUAUCGCCUUUGGAUGGGCCCGCGUUGGAUUAGCUAGUUGGUAGGGUAAAAGCCUACCAAGGCGACGAUCCAUAGCUGGUCUGAGAGGAUGAUCAGCCACACUGGGACUGAGACACGGCCCAGACUCCUACGGGAGGCAGCAGUGGGGAAUAUUGGACAAUGGGCGAAAGCCUGAUCCAGCAAGGCCGCGUGAGUGAUGAAGGCCUUAGGGUUGUAAAGCUCUUUUACCCGGGAUGAUAAUGACAGUACCGGGAGAAUAAGCUCCGGCUAACUCCGUG